GAUGAACGCUGGCGGCGUGCCUAAUACAUGCAAGUCGAGCGAACGGACGAGAAGCUUGCUUCUCUGAUGUUAGCGGCGGACGGGUGAGUAACACGUGGAUAACCUACCUAUAAGACUGGGAUAACUUCGGGAAACCGGAGCUAAUACCGGAUGAUAUUUUGAACCGCAUGGUUCAAAAGUGAAAGACGGUCUUGCUGUCACUUAUAGAUGGAUCCGCGCUGCAUUAGCUAGUUGGUAAGGUAAAGGCUUACCAAGGCAACGAUGCAUAGCCGACCUGAGAGGGUGAUCGGCCACACUGGAACUGAGACACGGUCCAGACUCCUAAGGGAGGCAGCAGUAGGGAAUCUUCCGCAAUGGGCGAAAGCCUGACGGAGCAACGCCGCGUGAGUGAUGAAGGUCUUCGGAUCGUAAAACUCUGUUAUUAGGGAAGAACAUAUGUGUAAGUAACUGUGCACAUCUUGACGGUACCUAAUCAGAAAGCCACGGCUAACUACGUG
rnacentral:rRNA from 1 species